rnacentral:rRNA from 1 species
UACGUAGGUGGCAAGCGUUGUUCGGAAUUACUGGGCGUAAAGGGCGCGUAGGCGGCUUAUCAAGUCAGGCGUGAAAUUCCCGGGCUCAACCUGGGGGCUGCGCUUGAUACUGAUUGGCUUGAAUGCGGGAGAGGAUAGUGGAAUUCCCAGUGUAGAGGUGAAAUUCGUAGAUAUUGGGAAGAACACCGGUGGCGAAGGCGGCUAUCUGGCCCGUAAUUGACGCUGAGGCGCGAAAGCGUGGGGAGCAAACAGG